rnacentral:rRNA from 1 species
CCUACGGGUGGCAGCAGUGGGGGAUAUUGCACAAUGGGGGAAACCCUGAUGCAGCGACGCCGCGUGUGGGAAGACGGUCCUCUGGAUUGUAAACCACUGUCCCCAGGGACGAAGAUGACGGUACCUGGGGAGGAAGCUCCGGCUAAGUACGUGCCAGCAGCCGCGGUAAGACGUAGGGAGCACGCGUUGUCCGGAAUUACUGGGUGUAAAGGGAGCGUAGGCGGGAGGGCAAGUUGGGUGUUAAAUCUACCGGCUCAACUGGUAGUCGCACUCAAAACUGCUAUUCUUGAGUGAAGUAGAGGCAGGCGGAAUUCCUAGUGUAGCGGUGAAAUGCGUAGAUAUUAGGAGGAACACCAGUGGCGAAGGCGGCCUGCUGGGCUUUUACUGACGCUGAGGCUCGAAAGUGUGGGGAGCAAACAGGAUUAGAUACCCGGGUAGUC